GAGAACCCGGAUGAGGGCGCCCUGUUGGGGCGUCUUUGAGAAGCGGUGGCGGGUGCUGAGGUGGUGGAUGCGGGCGUGAGCGGGUAGCGGAAGUGUGCGGACGUCCCCUCCUCCCCCGAAGCUGAUCUGCGGAUCUCAUCCCCGGGCCUCGCCCCUCGCCUUCCCCAAACCCCGUCCACUCCCCUUUCAUUGCUCCGGGAGCCGUCGGGGCUGUUUCCCCUUUGGGAACGGAAAGGUACCGCAGAGGCUUAGAGAGGGGAGGAAGGUGACAUCAAUUUGUGCAUCUCCCAGACUAGCACCGAGGCACUGCUUGCCGCUCAGGCCCCGUCGGAUUGCCUGUCCUCCGGCAGCUCAGCGCGAAGGUGUGAACUCAGCUUCCUUCAGAGCCUCCCCGCCAUGGCCACUGGGAACCAAGAAUGGCACUGGUCCCCAAGCCUUCCUCUGCCUCUGGUUUGGGAAUAGUUGCAAAUCCCAGGCAGGACGGACUCUCCGGGGUGGCUGAGGGGGCACAUUCUUGGAGGGCGGUGGCUGGGCAUGGAAUUGAGACCAACUGACAACGUCAUCGAGUAUUCCAGUCCCUGGCAGGCAGGCUCUGAGAGCCACAGGCCGAGCCCUUCCUAGAGCAUGCUCUCUGCCAUUUUCAGCCUCCCUUCAGCCCCUGGGGAAAGCAGCAUGAUAAGACCAAAACAGAACCAGCUUUGGAGCCAGGCAGACCUGGACACGUGCUGGCUGUGUGACCUUGGGCAAAGUCACUUAACUGUGAGCCUCGGUUUCCUCAUCAGGCUAAUUUGUCCAGUCGUGUUGUUGGAAGAUUAAAUGAGAUUUGCUUAAAAGCACUUAGCACGCGGUCUGGCUCUCCAUCCAUGCUCUGGCCCCUGCCAGACCUAGGAAAGGCCACAGUUUGCAUGAAGAACCUAGUUUCUCCCUGCAGGCUUGGGGAAGGAGCCUGGGAGAAGUACCCCUUGCCAGGACUGGGAUCAGCUGCAGGCUGCUGCUGGGCCACUAGGCGGCGCUGGGAACCCAGCCUGCUCUGUCCCAGUGGGGCACUA
rnacentral:lncRNA from 1 species